UACAGAAGUCUCAAGCGUUGUUCGGAUUCAUUGGGCGUAAAGGGUGCGUAGGUGGGUGGGUAAGUCAAAUGUGAAAUCCCGGAGCUCAACUCCGGAACUGCAUUCGAUACUGCCCGGCUCGAGGAUUGGAGAGGAGACUGGAAUUCACGGUGUAGCAGUGAAAUGCGUAGAGAUCGUGAGGAACACCCGUGGCGAAGGCGGGUCUCUGGACAAUUCGUGACUCUGAGGCACGAAGGCCAGGGGAGCAAACGGG
rnacentral:rRNA from 1 species